rnacentral:rRNA from 1 species
AGCGGGAAGUAGUUUACUACUUCGCCGGCGAGCGGCGGACGGGUGAGUAAUGUCUGGGAAACUGCCUGAUGGAGGGGGAUAACUACUGGAAACGGUAGCUAAUACCGCAUAACGUCUUCGGACCAAAGUGGGGGACCUUCGGGCCUCACGCCAUCGGAUGUGCCCAGAUGGGAUUAGCUAGUAGGUGGGGUAAUGGCUCACCUAGGCGACGAUCCCUAGCUGGUCUGAGAGGAUGACCAGCCACACUGGAACUGAGACACGGUCCAGACUUCUACGGGAGGCAGCAGUGGGGAAUAUUGCACAAUGGGCGCAAGCCUGAUGCAGCCAUGCCGCGUGUGUGAAGAAGGCCUUCGGGUUGUAAAGCACUUUCAGCGAGGAGGAAGGCCAAUAACUUAAUAGGUUGUUGGAUUGACGUUACUCGCAGAAGAAGCACCGGCUAACUCCGUGCCAGCAGCCGCGGUAAUACGGAGGGUGCAAGCGUUAAUCGGAAUUACUGGGCGUAAAGCGCACGCAGGCGGUUUGUUAAGUCAGAUGUGAAAUCCCCGCGCUUAACGUGGGAACUGCAUUUGAAACUGGCAAGCUAGAGUCUUGUAGAGGGGGGUAGAAUUCCAGGUGUAGCGGUGAAAUGCGUAGAGAUCUGGAGGAAUACCGGUGGCGAAGGCGGCCCCCUGGACAAAGACUGACGCUCAGGUGCGAAAGCGUGGGGAGCAAACA